GGGCAAAGAGCAUCUGUUCCCUCCAUUCUCCUAGCUCCAUCGGCUGCCAACCUAAGGCCAUCGCCUGCCUCCAUCACCCCUUCGCCUGCCUGCCUACCACCCAGUCCCAAAUGGGUGCUGGAUCAGGUCCUCCUUCCCAUCCCCUCUUAGGCAUGGAGAGAUGAAGGACAGAUGGAGUACCGCAUAAGGACACAAUGGAGGGAGCAGGCCAUGACUAAGACCCCAAGGAUGAAGAAUGGAGAGCCCUGACCGUCCUCCAGGCCCCCAGUCAAGUCCCUGCUGAAGAUGGCUAUACCCUCUAGCCUGGGAGGACCAUGACCCAACAAUGGCGGUGGGAGAGAAGAUGACUUUGUGAAGGACACUCUCCGUUAUCUGUGAUGACAUACACCAGCCCCUGAACAAUUUAACCUUAAGCUGCCCUCGGCAAGACUUCGGUAGCACUGGAUUUCUCUCAUUCCCGGGAGGCAGAGUUGUUAGCCAUCAAUCUGGAAGAUCUGAAGGAAAAUUUGGCUUUGGGUAAAGUCAAAGGGGAUGGCUCUCAGAGAUGAGGCCUGUUCAUGAGGAGUAAGCAGGGCUUUGCUGCCUGCGCCAGGCAGAGCUGCCCUGGGCUGGGGGGAGUUUUGACGUCAACAUCUCUGGAAGCAGAAAGCAGCUUCAGAAGAAGCAAGGUUUUGCCAGGAAAAAAGAAAACAGGAGGUCUUCAGUCAACAUGGAGUUUGAAGCCGCCCAUGGCUGAAGCUCAGAAUACUCUGGAGAGCUGAGAGUCCUUCUUCAGCGGCCGGGCCGUUCUGCAGCAGCUGCAGCCGCCUCUGGGCCUGGGCAUCACGGUGGGCAGGCGUGCGUAGGUGUUGCAGCAAGGCUAGGCGGGAGGGUGUGUCCCAGGCACACAACAGGCAGUGGUAAAUCCCCGGCUCCGGCCCUGCCUCUGCUCCCUCCAUUUCCAGCAGAAACUAGAACCAUGGAAGAGGCCAGCUCAGAUGUAGAAGGCACACCUCCAGACCUCUGGGGACUGUCCCUCCUCACUUGGAUUCUUUCCUGCCUGGAUGGCCUCCCUCCACCCUGCUAUGGCUUCCCAUCUGCUUCUCCUCUCCGUUUCCUUCUUUCUCCCAUCAGUCCUGGGUCCCCCAGUGUGUGGCCGGGAGCUGCUUCUGUCCUGGAUACCAUGAUGGCUGGACUGAGAUGGACUCAUCCCUAUAGCAUGUGUGCCAGCACAGCUAAAUCAAGUCUGUUUCUCCUCCUCAGAGCCCACUGC
rnacentral:lncRNA from 1 species